rnacentral:sRNA from 1 species
AGCAGCCGCGGUAAUUCCAGCUCCAAUAGCGUAUAUUAAAGUUGUUGCAGUUAAAAAGCUCGUAGUUGAAUUUCGGGGUUAGCAGGUCGGUCGUGCCAUCGGUAUGAACUGGUCUCGCUGAUCCCUCCCUCUUGACGAACUGUGAUGCCAUUAAUUUGGUGUCGCAGGGAAUCAGGACUGUUACUUUGAAAAAUUAGAGUGUUUAAAGCAGGCUCACGCUUGAAUACAUUAGCAUGGAAUAAUGAAAUAGGACGUUUGAUCCUAUUUUGUUGGCUUCUAGGAUUGACGUAAUGAUUAAUAGGGAUAGUUGGGGGCAUUAGUAUUCAAUUGUCAGAGGUGAAAUUCUUGGAUUUAUUGAAGACUAACUACUGCGAAAGCAUUUGCCAAGGAUGUUUUCAUUAAUCAAGAACGAAAGUUAGGGGAUCGAAGACGAUCAGAUACCGUCGUAGUCUUAACCAUAAACUAUGCCGACUAGGGAUCGGAUGAUGUUAAUUUUUAAUGACUCU